rnacentral:rRNA from 1 species
AAACUUUCAACAACGGAUCUCUUGGUUCUGGCAUCGAUGAAGAACGCAGCGAAAUGCGAUAAGUAAUGUGAAUUGCAGAAUUCAGUGAAUCAUCGAAUCUUUGAACGCACAUUGCGCCCCUUGGUAUUCCGAGGGCAUGCCUGUUCGAGCGUCAUUA